CAAUAGCGUAUAUUAAAGUUGUUGCGGUUAAAAAGCUCGUAGUUGGAUUUCUGCUGAGAACGACCGGUCCGCCCUUUGGGUGUGUAUCUGGCUCUUUCUUGGCAUCUUCUUGGUGAACGUUGCUGCACUUGACUGUGUGGAGCGCUACCCAGGACUUUUACUUUGAGGAAAUUAGAGUGUUUCAAGCAGGCAUACGCCUUGAAUACAUUAGCAUGGAAUAAUAAGAUAGGACCUCGGUUCUAUUUUGUUGGUUUCUAGAGCUGAGGUAAUGAUUAAUAGGGAUAGUUGGGGGCAUUCGUAUUUAACUGUCAGAGGUGAAAUUCUUGGAUUUGUUGAAGACGGACUACUGCGAAAGCAUCUGCCAUGGAUGUUCUCAUUG
rnacentral:rRNA from 1 species